rnacentral:sRNA from 1 species
AAAUAGCCCCGAUAGCAGUGGAAAUCCUUUUGUGUUUUUUCUUUAAAAACAGAAAAGAUUGCAACGGAUAGCGGGAGUAAUG